UGUGUCCUACGGGAGGCAGCAGUGAGGAAUAUUGGUCAAUGGGCGCAAGCCUGAACCAGCCAAGUCGCGUGAGGGAUGACGGUCCUAUGGAUUGUAAACCUCUUUUGUCGGGGAGCAAGGCCCGCCACGUGUGGCGGGAAGGAGAGUACCCGAAGAAAAAGCAUCGGCUAACUCCGUGCCAGCAGCCGCGGGAAUACGGAGGAUGCGAGCGUUAUCCGGAUUUAUUGGGUUUUAAGGGUGCGUAGGCGGAAGGUUAAGUCAGCGGGCAAAUGUCGGGGCUCAACACCGGCCUGCCG
rnacentral:rRNA from 1 species